CCCUGGCCUGUAAACUAACAAUUAAUCCCUUUGUUUAGUUCUCCCACCCCCCUUUUUAUAGAGUGUGCACAGUUGUUAUUUUCACUUUAUUCAUAUACAAUUGAUAUCACAGGAUAUAGACCUUCUGAGUAGGCAACAGUGUACCACAGAGAUAACCUCAGGCUUUUGAAGGCUGUAUAUUACCCCACGUGCCUUAAUAAGCUACAGCUAAUUGCAUUACAAUAUUAAGCAUACAGGCUCCAUAUUAGGACCCUCAAGGCAAAGAUCGGUCUAAGCGAGAGAGGGUCCCUCAAACAAUUAACUAAAAAUUAGUUGAUG